rfam:Neotoma lepida isolate 417 scaffold_1778, whole genome shotgun sequence.
GGAGAGGUGGCUCAGAGGUUAAGAGCACUGACUAUUCUUCCAGAGAUCCUGAGUUCAAUUCCCAGCAACCCCA